rnacentral:pre_miRNA from 1 species
CUACUACUCCCUCCGUCCGAAAAUACUUGUCAUUGAAAUGGAUGUAUCUAGAUGUAUUUUAGUUCUAGACACAUCCAUUUUGAUGACAAGUAAUUCCGUAUGGAGGGAGUAUUAU